rnacentral:rRNA from 1 species
UGCCAGCCGCCGCGGUAAUACGGAGGAUGCAAGCGUUAUCCGGAAUCAUUGGGUUUAAAGGGUCCGUAGGCGGAUAAUUAAGUCAGGGGUGAAAGUCUGCAGCUCAACUGUAGGACUGCCCUUGAUACUGGUUAUCUUGAAUCGUUGUGAAGUGGCUAGAAUAUGUAGUGUAGCGGUGAAAUGCAUAGAUAUUACAUAGAAUACCGAUUGCGAAGGCGGCUAACUGGCUCGGUACUGACGCUGAGAUGCGAAAGCGUGGGGAGCAAACAGGAUUAGAUA